CUGAAAAACACUGGGAGGGUUUUGUUGCUAUCAGUUACCAAAGUAUUUCUGUAGCAUGAAAUUGAAGGCAUGUGCUACACAUAUGGAUGUGGCUUUGAGGCAUACAGGAAGCAAAGCUCAGAGCAAGUAGGAACUCGGGAUACCCUGUCACAAAUACAUGUGGUGAAGUCCAGAUAUCAAGUUUCCUUGGACAAUGAACAGAAAAGAGGAAUCUUCCUUUUCUAUCUUAAUGAGGAAAACCACAGCAACACAGCUGCAUUCAUCCUGAAUUGGAUUCUCCUUUCUUCAGGCUUUACUUCAAUUUGGCAUCUGAAUGGAAACACCAGCUAUUUACACCCAUAUUCUGGAUAAUCAUGAGCAAUUGUCCUUAUUCUGGCUGUAGAGUUGUUAGAGCUCAGUUCUUGCUCAGUCUCAAAGUGUCAAGGCUUUAGGAUGCUUACCUGAUGGCCAUGUGUUGCCAGACUUUUGGCGGGUAACAUAUUUUCUCCAGCCCUCAUAAGCAAUGAUAUGGGCCAAAAUUCUUUUAAACCAGUAAGUUAGAGGGAUUGCUAUUGAGAUUUGGUCUUGGAAAGUGUUACUUGUGGCUUGGAGAAACAGACAGUAUAUAUGAGGUGGAGAGAUCUGAACUUUGUCAGCAGAAUCAAGAGUCUGGUCCCAAGCCCAAAUAUUGCUGCAGUUAACGUACCUAAAUUUGCUACAAUUGCAGGAAGAUUUUAGAUGGCUUCAUGAUGUUCAAAAUGAUUCUUCCUGGCGGAGUUUGAGAUUUUUUAGGAAAAAAUCGUAUGUAUUAUUGGUAGAAUAUUAAGCAUACACACUGCUUUUUGUCUCUGUCUCUUACAUGAUUUGUAUUAAAGGAAAAACAAGUUUAUUUCUCAGUAUUUUUGUUUUUAUGUCUUUAAUAUAAAUGCAAUGUACAAAAGGGAGAGUUGAAUUUUGGUUUUCUUUCCACUGAAGGAGUGGUUAUGUUGAUAUAAGAGUUGUAAGAAAAAGGAACACGACAGUCUUUUUUUUUUUUUUUUUCUGAGUGGGAAAACUUCUAAUUUUUACUCGGUAAUCUUAUUAGUUUCUCUUUUUGUGCUUUCAGCUGUGAAGGAUCUGAUAUACUGUCCUGGACAGAUUUUAAUUCAUCUUUCCAAUGGACAUAGAAGAACAGAAAAGAACACAGUACAGCUCCAGUGAACCUCAUCAUUUCUGAGCACCCAGAGAAAAUCUGAAAGCUGAGUACAUGAGAGGGUGGCAUCAUCUGCAUUUCAGUGGCCUGCCUUCAUAUUCAGCACAUCAGAAAGAAUAUCACUACAGAACUGUCUACGCUGUCAGCAGUACAAGUUACAGAAUGAAUUACUACUGAAUCUCAAUUUAGGGAUCAGGAGAGGAUGUGCUGAGUAAGUGAAAACACAGAAGCAAAGCGACAUGCCAUGGCUUUGUGGAUAUGUGGAUACAAGCAAUUACAGCUUAAUAGAUGUGGGUAAGCUGGUGAACAGAUAGAGGUUCUGCACUUCUUCAUGGUUUGCCCAAAGAUCAACAUUCUAAAUAUACCUUAUCUAAGACAACAAAUAAUGAAAUUGUCAAGUGAACUUGAACAUCAGAAUAAAUUUGAGAAAUCUCCUUAUAUCAAAAAGAAGCUUCAGAAAAAAAAUAGCAAGACAAGUUGUAGUUAAGUGCUGAAGAAUGAAAGGAUUGCUUUCCAGCAUUUUUAUUCCAGCUUCAGCAUAUUUUAUUUUAUAUAUAUAUAAAUAUAUAUACACACAUAAUUACAUACAUAUAUACACACACACACAUAUAUCUAUGCAGUGUUUUUCCCUCAAGGAAUAAGCCAUCUUAUUUAUGUCAUAGCUGAGAGGUGUGAAUUUCCUUCGCGCUUUAUCCAGCUUCAUAGAUGAAUCCCUGUUGGCAGAUCACACUGCACAGAAGACUGGUGAGUGACAGAGGCCACUGAUUACUAAUGGCCACAUCAGGAGGAAUUGCACUGUGAGGGAAGAUACCCACUUCCUCCUCAUCCCUAAUUUUGGGGUCUUGUUUCUAGAGAGUCCAUUGGAAGGAUUCACAUGGGGGACAGAGAAAUAAAAUACUAUCCACGUUCAUAAAAAGGUGUUUUCCUAAGCAACCACACUUCCCUCCCCCUCUAAACUCAAGGAGUGAGAAUAAAGCCUCCUGACAGGCUAUUCUCUUACUGUGCCAUGUUUCAAAGCCUUAUAAGGAGAAGAAACUGUGGCAUAAUUAAUACAUUGGAUAGCUGAAGACAUUACUGAAUCGUUAAACUGCAGCAUUUAACUGCAGUUAAAGUAUUCUUGGCCCCUAGGUCUUUACCAUUGUAUAAUCAUGAUCAGCUGUUUUAGAUAAACUAUGGAGAAAGUAAGAUAAAUCUUCCCAAAAUUUACAGUGAAGAAUAAAAUUCAGCAUAUAGCUUUCCCCUGCUCAUGGAAUUGAAUCAAUCAAUACUGCAUUAUGCUAUUGCUGGAGUGCAUAGUAGCAAUCACUGUUUGACAGUAAGGGUAUUUUGCACAGCAGUGAAGGUUAUCUAUAUAAUUUGUUUUAAACCUUUGGGUUCCCUAUGUUAGUCCUUUGGGAGAACUGCAGGAAACCUUGCUCUGUACAUUUUCUGUUUGCUGAAAAUUGUAACAUAGUCAUCAGAAAAAGAAAAAGAGAGAAAGAGAGAAAGAGAGAAAGAGAGAAAGAGAGAAAGAAAGAAAGAAAGAAAGAAAGAAAGAAAGAAAGAAAGAAAGAAAGAAAGAAAGAAAGAAAGAAAGAAAGAAAGAAAGAAAGAAAGAAGGAAAGAAAGAAAGAAAGAAAGAAAGAAAGAAAGAAAGAAAGAAAGAAAGAAAGAAAGAAAGAAAGAAAAGAAAAAAAAAUCAAAAGGAUAACAAAGCUUUGCUAAUAGGAAUGAUCCAUACACCCAGACAGAUGCGUUUUCCUGUGGACAGUGGAAAGAAUGCAGAUGUAAUUGGAACCCAUUGGAACCCAUUUUUGCCCAGGAGAUCUCAGAUGGAAGUCUGGAAGUCCUGACUGAAAAAAAUGAAGUGGAAUUCAGAGCAAUUUUUUGCCACUUCUUUCCAAUUCAGUUUUCAGCACGACUACAAAGGGACUUCUUGCUUCAGGCCAGGCUGGAUGAUUUGUGAAGCCACGGAAGUAAAAAUAAAGUAAAGCUGUCCUUCAAGAAACUGAAUAAACUGUUUUGGUUGAGUGUGUGGUUUUCUAAAUACAUGCAGAAAGAUGUAUACCCCAAACAUGUAUUUAGCAGAAUGGAUUUUGUUAAUGUCAAUAGCUAAAUACCAUAUUGGUUUGUUUUAUCAGCAUGCACAAUACUUACUUUUUAAAUGAUUCCAUCACUGUAUGUGGUUUAUGUAAAGCAAGUAAACUGAGAUUUCAUGUAAUUACAGUAAUUAAAAAGAGAGGUGGACAGGGCAGACUAUUUGUUAUACCAUGUAUGAUAAGAAGAUAGAGGCACCAUUCAAAGAGUUAUGACUUGUUAGUGAGUAGUAGACUCUUGAAAUUGUCAAGAAGUGUUGUUUGAAAAAAACAAAUGAAGAGAAGCAGAUAAAAUCAUCUAUUAUUAACUAAUGUAAGCAUAUGAAUUUCAGCGUGCAGCAUGCUUGCUACCGAUAGUCAUGGUGCAUUGUUACAGUGAAUUAAUAACAUUGUCACAAUGGAUAAUAUCACAUUUUCUGGCUAUACAAGUGAAAGGAAAACUAUCAGAAUUUCACAAUAACAGAGAAGCUUUGAAAUUAAAAUAAUAAUAAUAAAAGCCUACAAACUCACCACCAUUAAGUUACAUUCUUGAGUGGUGGGCAGUAUAACCUUGGCCUACUAUAGUAAAUGAAAGAGCACCAACCUGUUUGUAGGAGAUACGUGUUUUGCAUGCAUAUCUUAGUUGAUUUUAAUCUUUCUGAUUGAAUUUAGGGUGAAUAUUAAAAGCAAACUCAUAAUUUUUUGCACUUGAUAUUUCCAGUGGAAGGAGCACUGCCUAGUACAAUAUCUUCUAAUAAAAUAAAAUAAAAAUUCAUAAUUAUAAAUAAAAUAAAAAUUCAUAGUUGACUUCAGCUUCUCAACAGUGUCUAUGAAAUUUACUCCUAUUUGGUUUGUCUUUCUUCAUCACUGCCAAAAUAGAUCCUUUGUAUCUGUAUCUACAAUAAUGUACACCAUCUCCCUCAUAGGUACUGAACAUCCUAGACACCUCCAAAUCAAUCAUAAAUUAGUGAGGCAAAGUUAGUUAAUUUAAGUGAGUUUAAGCAAUGAUAACUUAAUGGAGGGACUUGUAAACCACAGCAGAAAUGUAAUGUUUAUGGAUUUUUUACAUAAAUGGAAGAAAAACAGGAUUUUUCAAUUUCUUCUGGGAAAAAAAAACAGCAACAACAACCAUGAAGUGAAAAUGAGAACAUGGGAAGGGAGCAGUGCAGUGCUGAUUUGUCCUCUCACAGCCACAGCACUUAUUUAGAUGCAUCAAGACUCACACGUAUUGCACAUUACAUGCGCUUCUGUCGCUUGCUGAGUAAAAUGCAGUGAUUGUCGAUAUUAGUAUUUCAACCUGUCUAAUGGCAAACCCCAAAAAAACCAAAACUCUGGAUGAAGGAAGAGUGUUAAACAAAAAAUGGUCAGAUUAGUAAUUUUUUUUUCAAGACAAAUAAUAUGGCACUCUGCUUAAUUUGCAAGGAAAUGAUGUCAGAUUUCAAACAAUACCAUUUGAAAAGAUAUUAAGUGCAGAAACAUGCUGACAAAUUCAAUGAAUAUCAAAGAAUGCCUCAUAAAGACAAAACAGUGGAACUGAAAACAAAGUCUAUCACCUCAACGCAAGCUUUUUUAAAAAGUUAAAUGGACUGUUGUAAAAGCUAGUGACAUGGUAACAAAUCUGAUGGCAAAAAAUCAAAACCAUUUACUGAUGGUGAGUUUAUUAAGCAGUGAAAGAAAAGCAUGACAGAUAUAAUGUGUCCUCAUAAAAAAUGGACUUUUCUAAUAUCAGUUUGUCUCACCAGACUGUAGCUAGGUGAACUUAAGAAACAGGAAAAUCUAUUGAGAGAAAUUCGGUGAUAGACAAAAGUACGG
ensembl:lncRNA